rnacentral:rRNA from 1 species
GUGAGGAAUUUUCCGCAAUGGGCGAAAGCCUGACGGAGCAAUGCCGCGUGAAGGAUGAAGGCCUAUGGGUUGUAAACUUCUUUUCUCAGAAAAGAAUUAUGACGGUAUCUGAGGAAUAAGCAUCGGCUGACUCUGUGCCAGCAGCCGCGGUAAGACAGAGGAUGCAAGCGUUAUCCGGAAUGAUUGUGCGUAAAGCGUCUGUAGGUUGUUUAAAAAGUAUUCUGUCAAAGAUUAGGGCUUAACCCUAGAUAGGCAGAAUAAACUUUUAAGCUAGAGUUUGGUAGAGGCAGAGGGAAUUCCCGGUGGAGCGGUGAAAUGCGUAGAUAUCGGGAGGAACACCAAAGGCGAAGGCACUCUGCUGGGCCAAUACUAACACUGAGAGACGAAAGCGAGGGGAGCAAAUGGGAUUAGAUACCCGAGUAGUCC